UGGGGAAUAUUGGACAAUGGGCGCAAGCCUGAUCCAGCCAUGCCGCGUGAGUGAUGAAGGCCUUAGGGUUGUAAAGCUCUUUCACCCACGACGAUAAUGACGGUAGUGGGAGAAGAAGCCCCGGCUAACUUCGUGCCAGCAGCCGCGGUAAUACGAAGGGGGCUAGCGUUGUUCGGAUUUACUGGGCGUAAAGCGUACGUAGGCGGACCGUUAAGUCGGAGGUGAAAUCCUGGGGCUCAACCCCAGAACUGCCUUCGAUACUGGCGGUCUCGAGUCCGGGAGAGGUGAGUGGAACUGCCAGUGUAGAGGUGAAAUUCGUAGAUAUUGGCAAGAACACCAGUGGCGAAGGCGGCUCACUGGCCCGGUACUGACGCUGAGGUACGAAAGCGUGGGGAGCAAACAGG
rnacentral:rRNA from 1 species